AGUGGGGUAGAGGAAUUGGUUGACUCAUCAGGUUCAUGACCUUAAGACUUCAGGUUCAAAUCAUGCCCCUGGCUG